UGGGUGGGUCUUCCUUCAUAAUGCAAUAAUCUUUCGCUUUUUACAAGAGAUUUCCAUGGAGAGGGACUUAAAGCGUCUAAAUCUAUUUUUUUUAUGUAUCUCUGCCGUAAGAUAG
rnacentral:snRNA from 1 species